AGGUGCAAAACUAGUAUCAUUAAAAAUGUUGCAUGUAAAACAUACACUUUCUAUUUCAAUAGGCUAUUUUUUUGAGCGGAAUGAGCUUCUUUCAACUUUUCAUUAGUUUCAGCAAAUAAACGGUACUAAAGAUGGGACCUUUAGUACCGAUACUAAGGUAGUGUUUGGUUGAGGAGCCAAGUAGAACGGAGUCGUUCCAUCCCUGAUUCUAGGAACGGAGCCGCUCUGUUCUGUGUUUGGUAAUCUGGAACGGAGCGGUUCUGUUUUUUGUUUGGUUGCAGAGUGAAUGGAACGGAGCGUGACUGUGAGAGCGGGAUUGGAACGGAGCGGCUCCGUUCCAUUGAUUUUUUGGAGCGGAAUGGUUCCGGAUCUGAGGAGAAUAUUCCCUAAUUGGAGCCAUUCCGUUCUAGUUACUUUGUAACCAAACAACAACAAAACUGGGACAGAACCGUUCCGUUCUACUUGGCUCUUCAACCAAACACUACCUAAAGUAUCAUCUUAGUAUCGGUCUUUGCAAUCGGUACUAAUAUUGUGGGCUUUUAGUUCUAGAUUCAGAGUACCGGUUGCGGAUUUGGUAUUGUAGCCGGUUCGCAAUCCAUAUAGACCUUUCUGCAGUAGAGUCCGUUGAAGCCUCUAAUAACUAGUAAUAGUAAGCUGAAGAACUCAGUUGAAGCAAUAAUGUGUGGAUGAACCAUUCUUGUGUCUUUUAUAGCUUUUCGCUCUUUUGGUCCUGCCACCAAGCGAAGGAGGAG
rnacentral:lncRNA from 1 species